rnacentral:rRNA from 1 species
CACGUAGUUAGCCGGGGCUUCUUAGUCAGGUACUGUCAAUUUCUUCCCUGCUGAUAGAGCUUUACAUACCGAAAUACUUCUUCACUCACGCGGCGUUGCUGCAUCAGGGUUUCCCCCAUUGUGCAAUAUUCCCCACUGCUGCCUCCCGUAAGAGUUUGGGCCGUGUCUCAGUCCCAAUGUGGCCGAUCACCCUCUCAGGUCGGCUACUGAUCGUCGCCUUGGUGAGCCGUUACCUCACCAACCAGCUAAUCAGACGCGGGUCCAUCUUACACCGAUACAAUCUUUUCCGUCAGAGUCAUGCGACCCCAGCGGGUUAUGCGGUAUUAGCAGCCAUUUCUAACUGUUAUCCCCCUGUGUAAGGCAGGUUCCCCACGCGUUACUCACCCGUCCGCCGCUCAGUCAAACUGUCUUCAAUCCGAAGAAUCAGACAGAGUGCUUCGCUCGACUUGCAUGUGUUAAGCACGCCGCCAGCGUUCAUCCUGAGCCAGGUA